rnacentral:tRNA from 1 species
UAGGCGAUUAGUUCAAUUGGUAGAGCGUCGGUCUCCAAAACCGAAUGUUGGGGGUUCGAGUCCCUCAUCGCCUGCCAC